GCUGCAGCUCCCCCGCGCGGAGCCCUCGCUCGGACCGCGCCGGUCCCCGGGGCCCCGAGGCCCGCAGCCCGAGCAGCCCCUGCCCUGCCCGCCGGGGCUCGGUGCCGCACGCGUGUGACGGCGAGCAUCGGUCGUCGGCUUUUCCUUCCGUGCCGCUGAACUUCCAGGAGCCGAGGAUGGCUCGGGCUCACCUUGUUCUCGUGUGACGUGCAGCUGAGCGUUUUCCUUCCCUAGCGUGGUCUCCGUGCGCUGCCGUCGGCGGUUUCCACUUCGGGUUCUCGUUAUUUCUUUUGCAGAUGAAGUCAGCGCUCCCAGCAGGAUCCCUUGAAACGUUCUGGGGCACGGCUGAUACCCGCUUGUCCCCUUGCGAUGGCAAACGCCUGGUCCAGAUUUAGGGAGUCGCCUGUGGUGAGGCUGGACAAGAUCCUGAGCUAACACAGCAGCUGAAGUGGAUGAGAACAUCGAUAGCUCAGAAAGCUGUGAGAGCAUGUGCUGAAGAUGCCAUGACUUUCUGAAGCUGAACUUGUACGGGAACCAGAAUGGGAAGAUCCAGAUGAUGAUCUGCAGCGUCUGUAAGAUAUAAAUGGAGAAAGCAUGCAAAGAAAUAAGUUGAAAUCAAUUUUAACAUC